GUGUAGAUUAUUGAUCCUCAUCACAAGAGGAUUACAAGUUUGACGCUUGACAAGCUAGGUGAAGGCUUGGAAAGGAAGCGGGUCAAACGAAGCAAAUAAGAAGGAAAAGCGUACUUCGGAUGCGAGCUCAAUGUCGAGAGUCCCGGAGGAAGAUCGAGCAUCGAGCAAGAACCGAACACACGUUAAACAAAGCUUCCGCAACGUUGUUUUGUCGUUAUUCUAAACGGCGAAUUAAAUCACAUUAUGUAUAUCACUUAAAUUGUAAAAUUUUUAACAACCCGUA